ensembl:lncRNA
CCUCUCUCUCUCUCUCUCUUUUUUUUCCUCCUCCUUAUUAAUAGCACAAUUUCUGUUACUUCUGGCUUCCAAAAUCCUUGUGCAGAUGUGCCUCCCACCCCCCCAAGGAUCUCUCCUCUGGACUUAGAGAGAAGAGGAAAAGGCAGAUUUUGAGAAAUGAAAAUUAUUUAAGGAUGUCCCCGCUGCCUCUCUCUGCUGCCCUCCUCUGUAACACCGCAGCAUUUGCAGAAAGUAAUGCAAAAAUAAAUAAAUAACGAAAAGAAACUCCCCGGCCAGCAGAGCUGCAGAGGAGGAACCGAGGAUCCUUUCCAGGCUGUGCGGAGUCAGAGAGGAAGACUCCGUGGAGAAAGGUCCCGGUGUGGGGAAGGCUGCCGAUGGAGAUCGCUGCGGGGCUGCAAACCCUGAGCCCAAAGCAGCUCAGACCCACAGCACCGGCACAGCUGGGCCCCACGUUACGAGGCUAACCCAAGGACACCAAGGCCCAUCUUCCCAGAGCAAGGGACCAGGAGGAAAGCAGGAGGGGUGCUGCAGCUCUUUGCAAAGAUGAGACCAAAACCAACGCCAGUGUUGAUGGAUGCACUCAACUUUGCUCAGUUGAGCAGUUUCAACCCAAAGAGAUGCAGGGGGGCUCUGUUGGCACACAGACAUCAGCACAGCGCAGCAGCUGGGAUAAGGGAAUGAGCUUAAAACAAAAGGAAACCCAAUGCUGCUGACGCCAGGCCGAGUGGAUUCAGGUUCAAAAAUUAGACCUCGUCCUUCAAACAGAGAAAAGCCACAACAUGCUGAACAGAAAUACAUUCAGCAGAUUUAUUUUCCUUCCUUUCCAUAUUUAAAUGGAAGCUGCUUUAAAAUACUAAAUAAACUGAAGCAAAUUGGCACGGCGAUGAAAUUAAAUUAAAAAAAAAAGAAAAAGAAAAAGAAAAAAAAAAGUGGCUGUUCUAAUUUAAUUAGCCAAAAUAAGAACAGUGCAGGGGGGAGGAGAUGCCACCGGAACCACACGGCACUGGGAACAGAGCACUUGCUUUGCACACUGGGUAUAUUUAGAUCAAUGCCUCGUUCAGAGGUGAGGCUGUGGCGUGGCCACAGAAGGCACGGGCAGUGUGAAUCCCGGCACAGGAAGGG